UACGUAGGGGGCUAGCGUUGUCCGGAUUUAUUGGGCGUAAAGAGCGUGUAGGCGGCCAGGUAGGUCUGCUGUGAAAACUCGAGGCUUAACCUCGAGACGUCGGCGGAAACCAUCUGGCUAGAGUCCGGAAGAGGAGAGUGGAAUUCCCGGUGUAGCGGUGAAAUGCGCAGAUAUCGGGAAGAACACCAGUGGCGAAGGCGGCUCUCUGGUCUGCUCUUGACGCUGAGGCGCGAAAGCUAGGGUAGCAAACGGG
rnacentral:rRNA from 1 species